UAUACUGUAUAUUGUCCUUGCUUCAGCAGUGGUAAAACGGCCUAACCAACAUUACUCUAUCAUGAAAAAUUAUUUUUAGUGGUUGAGCAACUUGUGCACUGCAUGAAAGGCCAAGAGGAACCAGAGAGAUCAUAUAGCACAUUAAAAUGGAGGAGACGAUGACGUCCACCUCCCCAGACCACCACCAACAUAUAGCAGACGUACCCAAAAGAGCAUUAGCAAUGACUAGUAUGACGAAUGAAGAUUACAGAAACACUUAUUGGCCACAGCUGCAAACGGCCAUUGACCGACUGUUACAGGGACCUCCUCCUCCACACCACACAGGACCUGUCAUUGAAUUUGAACCCAUGUACUCUGCAGCAUACAAAUGUGUGUGCCAGCAGCACUCCGAGGCUCUCUAUAAUGAUCUAAUGUCCCAUGUACACAAGCAUUUUGUCAAGGUUGCUGAGGAGAUGCAGCAGUUGGAUGAGUUUCAGUUAAUUGAUAACUACUACUGCGUUAUUCAUCGUGUCAUGUAUAGUCUAGAUGGCAUCAUUCCAAUAUUUACAUAUCUGAAUAAGGUGUAUGUAUCGACAAAAUUAUCAUCAAAUCUACGAACAGAAUUGCAGACUUUAUUUUGUACAGAUGUCAUAGAUCCGGUUAUUGAAAAAUUAAUGGCCAUGGUGAAGCAAACAACGGAAAUGACUCCCUUCACUAUAGCACCUCAUGUUUUAGCUUCACUCAUAAAGAGUCUUCACAAGCUUAAUCAAGCCUAUGCUCAGAAGUAUCCACAGGAGGAAAACAGACAGUAGGAGAAGAAGCACAAGAUAGCCCCCAGGCAGUGGGAGGACCCUCUGGGUCACAGUGAUUCCCACCACCCUCCCUCCCACUGCUCUCUCACUUCACCUUUGGCCAUCAGUGUUUGCUGGUUACAUUCCCGGUGUUCUUCCUGCCAUGCGUGAACAUGAAUUGUCUGGGUAUAUAAGUGAAACUCAGGAGUUACAGGCAUCUCUUCGACAGUCCUGGAUCAC
rnacentral:misc_RNA from 1 species